AGUGGCGGACGGGUGAGUAAUACGUAGGUAACCUGCCUUGAAGCGGGGGAUAACCACGGGAAACUGUGGCUAAUACCGCAUGGUCCUACCGGUACGGGAGUACGGGUAGGUAAAGUUUCGGCGCUUCAAGAGGGGCCUGCGUCCGAUUAGUUAGUUGGUGAGGUAACGGCUCACCAAGGCGAUGAUCGGUAGCUGGUCUGAGAGGACGAUCAGCCACACGGGAACUGAGACACGGUCCCGACUCCUACGGGGGGCAGCAGUGAGGAAUAUUCGUCAAUGGGGGGAACCCUGAACGAGCAACGCCGCGUGGAGGAUGAAGGCCCUUGGGUUGUAAACUCCUUUUCGGAGGGAAGAGGAAGGACGGUACCUUCGGAAUAAGUCACGGCUAACUACGUGCCAGCAGCCGCGGUAAUACGUAGGUGGCAAGCGUUAUCCGGAAUUACUGGGCGUAAAGCGCACGCAGGCGGCUGUCCAAGUCUGACGUGAAAGCUCCUGGCUUAACUGGGAGAGGUCGUUGGAAACUAGAUGGCUUGAGGUGAGGAGAGGGGUGUAGGAUUCCCGGUGUAGUGGUGGAAUGCGUAGAUAUCGGGAGAAAUACCAGUGGCGAAAGCGGCACCCUGGCCUUGGCCUGACGCUCAGGUGCGAAAGCGUGGGUAGCGAACGGGAUUAGAUACCCCGGUAGUCCACGCUGUAAACGAUGAAUACUAGGUGUGG
rnacentral:rRNA from 1 species